rnacentral:rRNA from 1 species
UACAGAGGGUGCAAGCGUUAAUCGGAAUUACUGGGCGUAAAGCGUGCGUAGACGGUUAUGUAAGUCGGGUGUGAAAGCCCCGGGCUCAACCUGGGAAUUGCAUUCGAGACUGUGUAGCUAGGGUACGGAAGAGGGAAGCGGAAUUUCAGGUGUAGCGGUGAAAUGCGUAGAUAUCUGAAGGAACACCAGUGGCGAAAGCGGCUUCCUGGUCCAGUACCGACGUUCAGGCACGAAAGCGUGGGGAGCAAACAGGA